AGAUCUUCUCGGCUUAGCGGCUGAAGACUGACGCUGCCCGAUCGCCUCAGAAGCCCCCUAGACCAUCACCGACGCUGAGCUUCGGGUAACUCUCACAGUGGAAGGAGCAGGGAAGCCAGGAGGUGUGCUCCGCUUUUGUGCUACUGGCAUGUGAAGAAACUGGGGCUCUGAAUGGCAUAUUAACGCGUGCAGCUCCAGACAGCGAGGAAGUGAUGGCAACUCUAUCCGAACUCAAAUCUGCCAGACCUAUACCAGUAGGUGCCUGUGUGCAGUUGGGGACUCACCUCUGCCAGUGCUGGCAUGAGCUAGCUGUCUUGAACUGAAAACAGACACUCAAAGAUGGGCUGUGGGAUCCCAGAGAGGUGGCAGAAUGGUCAAAGCUAUGAAGCCAACAGCUGCUGCCAACAAGAAAGUCCUGAGCCCUGAGUGAUUGUAAUUUAAACUUAAUGCUGGGAGUGGGUGUUUAUUUUGGAGGAGUGGGCUGCUUAUUUUUGGUUUGGGGACUUGUUCAUUCAUCUUUUCUCAGCGGCGCCUACUGCUGCCCUGGCCCGAAGUUAAAGCUCAAUAAAUCACUGUUGCACAACUGAG
rnacentral:lncRNA from 10 species